ensembl:lncRNA
AUGUCGAAAUCCGCGCAGAGGCUGCUGGGACGUGGCGAUAUCUGUAGGCCCACCACAUCUGCAGUGCGGGGGGCCGGCAGCGGCUCGGAGACAGGUCCAACCUGCUUCACCACAGACGCGGCGUCAGCGUCAAGACGACAACCGCAGGAGCGAUGCCUUAUAACCGGAAGCAGAAAGGGCCUGGUUGUUCCUUGCACCGUGAGAAGCCACCUCUUGACGGACGAGGAAACCCAGACUCCCAGAGGUGAAGCGACUUGCCAUGGGCACCCGGGGACCCACGUCAGGGGCCCUGGGCCCUGUGCCUGCCAGCCACGCCCUGGGCCCCUCGCCCACCCACCAGACCCUUCCGAGGACCCCGCAGUCACUUCUAGAAGCACCCAGGCUCUGCUUGGAAAGCGGCUAACAAGCUCGAUGCCUCUUGCCAGUGAAUGGACCAUCGAUGACUACUGCGAGCAGAGCUUAACAAGGGGAAUUCAUGGUGAGAACAAGCGCCAUCGAGUCCUCCUUGAGCUCCGGACGCUCUGGGGGCUCCAGGACAGAACUCGGGGAUCUGACAACGCAAGGGUGCCAGCCUGGAUGAAGUUCUGUGCCAAGCGCAGCAAGGCUCCACUUCCUUGAGAUGCUUUACCGCCACCUGCUGGAAAAGUAUCCUGGCAAAUACAUCUCCCCUGAUGCCCCUCUGAGCAGCACACAUCAGAGCUGUGUAGUGCACAACUUGUCCAGCUGUCCACGGCAACCCCGUCUCAGCGCCGCCAGGCUUCCUUGUUUCCCCAUCGUGUUUUAUCCGUUUCUCUCUCCGUUUCAUUCUCUAGUACCUUAGACAGGCUUUAUUUUUGUGGCUGAAAUCAGGCUGCUCUGUGACUUGUGAGACCAAGUCCCUUCCCCUCCCGCCCCCAAAUAUAAAAGUCUAGGUAAGGACUCUGGUCCAUCACUGAGCCUUCUCCGUGGUCAGAGGCAGGGGACAGGUGUCAGGAUGGGCAAGGUUGUGCCGUGCAACGCGCCAUGUAGAACCUCAGCGGUGCUUUAUUUCUCCCUCACUCUGAACAUCCACCCCUGUCUGCCCAGGGGGCUCUGCUCACCUGGGGCUUUCAGGGACCCAGACUGACAGAUGCCCCAGCUCAAAAUGUGUUCCCGCCGUCGCUGCAGCAAGAGCAAGGCACUUGGAGCAUCGCCCACUGGCUGGGAAAGUGUCCCCAGGGAGGAAAGCGUCCCCGGGGAGACACACAGGCACUGAGCUCACGGUUCAUGAAGCAAGUCCGUGGGCAUGUCCAAGCUCAGGGGUGGAGAGAAGCACCCUCCAGGAGGAUCUGUCCUUGGAUCACACUGCACUCUCGGGGCAGCAGGGGCUAGGCUGGGGGGCGGGCAGGGGACCAUGAUUGCUACAGCCUGGGCUGGAGGGGUGGGAGCUCCUCCAGGAAGGGGAGGAGGGUGCCAGCGACUCUGAACACUCGCCCGGGGUUGCAGCCAAGAGGGAGCUGGGCCAGGCAGGAGAGUGUGAGCAGGGGCACUGGGCGGCCGCACGCGGCUCUGGGCACUGCAGCAGCGGGAGCCCCGAGGGGCCCCCAGGGACCAGCUCUCUGGGAAUAAAGAGUCAGGCUCCAGCCCA